rnacentral:rRNA from 1 species
GACGAACGCUGGCGGCGUGCUUAACACAUGCAAGUCGAGCGGUAAGGCCCGUUUCGGGGGUACACGAGCGGCGAACGGGUGAGUAACACGUGGGUGACCUGCCCUCAGCUCUGGGAUAAGCCUGGGAAACCGGGUCUAAUACCGGAUAUGACUCCAUGACGCAUGUUGUGGGGUGGAAAGCCUUGUGCGGCUGAGGAUGGGCCCGCGGCCUAUCAGCUUGUUGGUGGGGUGANGGCCUACCAAGGCGACGACGGGUAGCCGGCCUGAGAGGGCGACCGGCCACACUGGGACUGAGACACGGCCCAGACUCCUACGGGAGGCAGCAGUGGGGAAUCUUGCGCAAUGGGCGAAAGCCUGACGCAGCGACGCCGCGUGAGGGAUGACGGCCUGG